rnacentral:rRNA from 1 species
UUAAGUUAUUAAGGGCGCACGGUGGAUGCCUUGGCACUAGAAGCCGAUGAAGGACGUUACUAACGACGAUAUGCUUUGGGGAGCUGUAAGUAAGCUUUGAUCCAGAGAUUUCCGAAUGGGGAAACCCAGCAUGAGUUAUGUCAUGUUAUCGAUAUGUGAAUACAUAGCAUAUCAGAAGGCACACCCGGAGAACUGAAACAUCUUAGUACCCGGAGGAAGAGAAAGAAAAUUCGAUUCCCUUAGUAGCGGCGAGCGAAACGGGAAGAGCCCAAACCAAAAAGCUUGCUUGUUGGGGUUGUAGGACACUCUAUACGGAGUUACAAAGGACGACAUUAGACGAAUCAUCUGGAAAGAUGAAUCAAAGAAGGUAAUAAUCCUGUAGUCGAAAAUGUUGUCUCUCUUGAGUGGAUCCUGAGUACGACGGAGCACGUGAAAUUCCGUCGGAAUCUGGGAGGACCAUCUCCUAAGGCUAAAUACUCUCUAGUGACCGAUAGUGAACCAGUACCGUGAGGGAAAGGUGAAAAGCACCCCGGAAGGGGAGUGAAAUAGAACCUGAAACCGUGUGCUUACAAGUAGUCAGAGCCCGUUAAUGGGUGAUGGCGUGCCUUUUGUAGAAUGAACCGGCGAGUUACGAUUUGAUGCAAGGUUAAGCAGUAAAUGUGGAGCCGUAGCGAAAGCGAGUCUGAAUAGGGCGUUUAGUAUUUGGUCGUAGACCCGAAACCAGGUGAUCUACCCUUGGUCAGGUUGAAGUUCAGGUAACACUGAAUGGAGGACCGAACCGACUUACGUUGAAAAGUGAGCGGAUGAACUGAGGGUAGCGGAGAAAUUCCAAUCGAACCUGGAGAUAGCUGGUUCUCUCCGAAAUAGCUUUAGGGCUAGCCUCAAGUGAUGAUUAUUGGAGGUAGAGCACUGUUUGGACGAGGGGCCCCUCUCGGGUUACCGAAUUCAGACAAACUCCGAAUGCCAAUUAAUUUAACUUGGGAGUCAGAACAUGGGUGAUAAGGUCCGUGUUCGAAAGGGAAACAGCCCAGACCACCAGCUAAGGUCCCAAAAUAUAUGUUAAGUGGAAAAGGAUGUGGCGUUGCCCAGACAACUAGGAUGUUGGCUUAGAAGCAGCCAUCAUUUAAAGAGUGCGUAAUAGCUCACUAGUCGAGUGACACUGCGCCGAAAAUGUACCGGGGCUAAACAUAUUACCGAAGCUGUGGAUUGUCCUUUGGACAAUGGUAGGAGAGCGUUCUAAGGGCGUUGAAGCAUGAUCGUAAGGACAUGUGGAGCGCUUAGAAGUGAGAAUGCCGGUGUGAGUAGCGAAAGACGGGUGAGAAUCCCGUCCACCGAUUGACUAAGGUUUCCAGAGGAAGGCUCGUCCGCUCUGGGUUAGUCGGGUCCUAAGCUGAGGCCGACAGGCGUAGGCGAUGGAUAACAGGUUGAUAUUCCUGUACCACCUAUAAUCGUUUUAAUCGAUGGGGGGACGCAGUAGGAUAGGCGAAGCGUGCGAUUGGAUUGCACGUCUAAGCAGUAAGGCUGAGUAUUAGGCAAAUCCGGUACUCGUUAAGGCUGAGCUGUGAUGGGGAGAAGACAUUGAGUCUUCGAGUCGUUGAUUUCACACUGCCGAGAAAAGCCUCUAGAUAGAAAAUAGGUGCCCGUACCGCAAACCGACACAGGUAGUCAAGAUGAGAAUUCUAAGGUGAGCGAGCGAACUCUCGUUAAGGAACUCGGCAAAAUGACCCCGUAACUUCGGGAGAAGGGGUGCUCUUUAGGGUUAACGCCCAGAAGAGCCGCAGUGAAUAGGCCCAAGCGACUGUUUAUCAAAAACACAGGUCUCUGCUAAACCGUAAGGUGAUGUAUAGGGGCUGACGCCUGCCCGGUGCUGGAAGGUUAAGAGGAGUGGUUAGCUUCUGCGAAGCUACGAAUCGAAGCCCCAGUAAACGGCGGCCGUAACUAUAACGGUCCUAAGGUAGCGAAAUUCCUUGUCGGGUAAGUUCCGACCCGCACGAAAGGCGUAACGAUUUGGGCACUGUCUCAACGAGAGACUCGGUGAAAUCAUAGUACCUGUGAAGAUGCAGGUUACCCGCGACAGGACGGAAAGACCCCGUGGAGCUUUACUGUAGCCUGAUAUUGAAAUUCGGCACAGCUUGUACAGGAUAGGUAGGAGCCUUUGAAACGUGAGCGCUAGCUUACGUGGAGGCGCUGGUGGGAUACUACCCUAGCUGUGUUGGCUUUCUAACCCGCACCACUUAUCGUGGUGGGAGACAGUGUCAAGCGGGCAGUUUGACUGGGGCGGUCGCCUCCUAAAAGGUAACGGAGGCGCUCAAAGGUUCCCUCAGAAUGGUUGGAAAUCAUUCAUAGAGUGUAAAGGCAUAAGGGAGCUUGACUGCGAGACCUACAAGUCGAGCAGGGUCGAAAGACGGACUUAGUGAUCCGGUGGUUCCGCAUGGAAGGGCCAUCGCUCAACGGAUAAAAGCUACCCCGGGGAUAACAGGCUUAUCUCCCCCAAGAGUUCACAUCGACGGGGAGGUUUGGCACCUCGAUGUCGGCUCAUCGCAUCCUGGGGCUGUAGUCGGUCCCAAGGGUUGGGCUGUUCGCCCAUUAAAGCGGUACGCGAGCUGGGUUCAGAACGUCGUGAGACAGUUCGGUCCCUAUCCGUCGUGGGCGUAGGAAAUUUGAGAGGAGCUGUCCUUAGUACGAGAGGACCGGGAUGGACAUACCUCUGGUGUACCAGUUGUCGUGCCAACGGCAUAGCUGGGUAGCUAUGUGUGGACGGGAUAAGUGCUGAAAGCAUCUAAGCAUGAAGCCCCCUCAAGAUGAGAUUUCCCAACUUCGGUUAUAAGAUCCCUCAAAGAUGAUGAGGUUAAUAGGUUCGAGGUGGAAGCAUGGUGACAUGUGGAGCUGACGAAUACUAAUCGAUCGAAGACUUAAUCAA